AACGAGGCCGACCUGCGGCUGAGUUACCUGCGGAAGGAUCAUUACAUUCAGUAGCCUAGCUACUUGUUUACACCCUUGUUUUUUUGCGCACUUCAUUGUAUCCCUCGGCGGGCUUGCUCGCCGGUUGGACAACAUUUAUAACCUUUUUUAAUCUUCAAUCAGCGUCUGAAUUAUAUUUAAUAAUUACAACUUUCAACAACGGAUCU
rnacentral:misc_RNA from 1 species